rnacentral:rRNA from 1 species
CCUACGGGAGGCAGCAGUGAGGAAUAUUGGUCAAUGGGCGCGAGCCUGAACCAGCCAAGCCGCGUGAGGGAGUACUGCCCUAGGGGUUGUAAACCUCUUUUGUCGGGGAGCAAACGCUGGGCGUGUUCGGCUGUGAGAGUACCCGAAGAAAAAGCAUAGGCUAACUCCGGGCCAGCAGCCGCGGUAAUACGGAGGAGGCGAGCGUUAUCCGGAUUUAUUGGGGUUAAAGGUUGCGCAGGCGGAUUUUUAAGUUAGCGGUCAAAUCGUGGGGCUCAACCCCAUCCAGCCGUUGAAACUGGGGAUCUAGAGUGUGCGAGAGGUAUGCGGAAUGCGUGGUGUAGCGGUGAAAUGCAUAGAUAUCACGCAGAACCCCGAUUGCGAAGGCAGCAUACCGGUGCACAACUGACGCUCAGGCACGAAAGCGUGGGUAUCGAACAGGAUUAGAUACCCGAGUAGUC